rnacentral:rRNA from 1 species
UGAAUUGACGGGGGCCCGCACAAGCGGUGGAGCAUGUGGUUAAUUCGACGCAACGCGAAGAACCUUACCAGGGCUUGACAUCCCCUGACCGCGUAUGAAAGUACGUUUUCACCCUCGGGUGACAGGGAGACAGGUGGUGCAUGGUUGUCGUCAGCUCGUGUCGUGAGAUGUUGGGUUAAGUCCCGCAACGAGCGCAACCCCUACGUUUAGUUGCUAACGCGUGAAGGCGAGCACUCUAGACGAACUGCCGUUGACAAAACGGAGGAAGGUGGGGAUGACGUCAAAUCAUCAUGCCCCUUAUGUUCUGGGCUACACACGUGCUACAAUGGCCGGUACAGACGGACGCAAAGCCGCGAGGUGGAGCAAAUCCUAAAAAGCCGGUCUCAGUUCGGAUUGCAGGCUGCAAUUCGCCUGCAUGAAGUCGGAAUCGCUAGUAAUCGCAGGUCAGCAUACUGCGGUGAAUACGUUCCCGGGCCUU